rnacentral:rRNA from 1 species
CCAGACUCCUACGGGAGGCAGCAGUGAGGAAUAUUGGUCAAUGGUCGGGAGACUGAACCAGCCAAGCCGCGUGAGGGAGGAAGGUACAGAGUAUCGUAAACCUCUUUUGUCAGGGAACAAAGGCGGGGACGUGUCCCCGGAUGAGUGUACCUGAAGAAAAAGCAUCGGCUAACUCCGUGCCAGCAGCCGCGGUAAUACGGAGGAUGCGAGCGUUAUCCGGAUUUAUUGGGUUUAAAGGGUGCGCAGGCGGUCUGUUAAGUCAGCGGUAAAAGCCCGGGGCUCAACCCCGGCGAGCCGUUGAAACUGGCGGGCUGGAGUUGGAGAGAAGUACGCGGAAUGCGCGGUGUAGCGGUGAAAUGCUUAGAUAUCGCGCAGAACCCCGAUUGCGAAGGCAGCGUACCGGCUCCACACUGACGCUGAGGCACGAAAGCGUGGGUAUCGAACAGGAUUAGAUACCCCAGUA